rnacentral:lncRNA from 1 species
AUGCCACCAGGAGGGCAGAGGGUCAGCGGCAGACUGGGCAGUGCCUGUCUGUGUCCAGGGAGGGCUGGGCAGGGCAGUGGAGCGCUGCUCCUGUACGUCUCCUCUCAGUGGCGGGGCAGUGAACUCCGCACACGCUCAGCUAGGGUGGGCAUGUGUCCAGCGGCAGGUGCGCUGGACAAACACCACUUGCCCAGCUCCCCAUCCCCGGGAGGACAGAGGAGAUACUUACUACAAACCUACUGUGCACUUUCUCUAGGAUCCUCUUUUCGUUCAGGGCCAUGGCCUCCCCUUUCCUCCUCUUUAUCCUUUUCUUCUCUAGCUUCUUACAGGCGUAAACACACAUCCUCCAGUGGGCACUUACUCUGUUGCCAGCACAAAGGUGAAGCGACUGAGCCCACACCAAAGCCCUAAGAGCAAAGGGGCUGAAGAACUAUGGGUGGGCUCUGCCGCCAGCCCUCCCAUCUCUCCAGGAGCAGCAGAGGAGUCACCUCCACAGAGGACUAUACUCCCGGGGUCAGCAAGUGGAAGGGUGGGCCCAACUGCUGCUUCUACAUUGCGACCAGCAUGAAUUCUUCCUAAUGUGUUCAAUCUCUCCCUAAGCCGGGCUAAAACCCACUCUACACAAGUCUGGACACCAUCAAACCUCAAAUCCAAGAAGAGAUGUUAACAGUCCCCCGCUCCAGUAUUCUUGCCUGGGAAAUCUCAUGGACAGAGGAGCCUGGCGGGCUACAGUCCACCGGGUCGCAAGACAACAAAACACACGUAAGGGAAGGGCCUCCCAUGGUGGUUCACGGUAUUCUCUUCGGUGGUCCUUUGAAAACCACAAAGACACGGUUCUUUGCCGCCGGCUUUACUGGCUGGUCUGGCCUCCUCUCUUGGGGACAGAUCACACUGAUCGCCCGAGGCUGAAGCCACACUGCGUCCCGAGGUUCCGGAAGGAGGGCAGGACAGGGGAGCAAGUGCAGAACUGGAGCAGCGCGCGCGCUUCCUUCACUCGGGUCCUGAGGCGGCGCCGAAAGGCGACGGAGCAGCUUAGGCGUUAGGAGCCAGGGCUGACCACUCGCCGACCGCGCACUCCAGGGAGUGAGGCUGCGCGGAAGAUCCGGGCAGUGUCGGUGUUCCCGGCAGGGCUGCGGCUGCACGGGCUCAGGACUCGGGCGGGGUCGGGGCGCCGCUGUGCACCCACCUUGGCGCGCUCUCAGCAGCAUCGUGUUGGCCAAGAAGUUCUCGAGCUCCAUAGAUGACCGCCGUCGUCGUCGUCUUCUUCGCCGCCGCCGCCUGGCUCUCUCGGCGGGAGGAGGCGGGGGCAAGGCGGGGAUCGGCCGCGGGGCGGCCCCCGGGCAUCGCCCGCCCGACUCCGCGUCGGGUCGCGCCCUGGGCCGCCGCUCCUGCACCUGCUGCUGCUGCCACGGACCCGGCCACGGCCACGGCCACGGCCACCACCCUCGCCGCCGCCUCUCGGUCUGCUUUCGACGACGCCGCUGCUUCGUACGCUGAGGGCGCCCGGCCGCCUCGCCUCCGGGGCCGGGGGCUGCGGCCG